CUGCAAGCUUGGUCGGAUGAGUAAUAAAGGCUCUCUCUUGAAUCAUAUGGAUAAUGCUGGCAAGUGACAGAAAUAGAAGAGAGUUCUUUUAAAAAUACAAGGCACUUGGCUUAGAAUUUUCACCCGAUGGAAGACUAAUUGUGUCAUGUAGUGAGGAUAAAACUAUUAAAAUUUGGGAUACCACAAAUAAGCAAUGUGUUAAUAACUUCUCAGAUUCCGUUGGAUUUGCAAAUUUUGUGGACUUUAACCCUAGUGGUACAUGCAUAGCUUCAGCAGGUUCUGAUCAAACUGUGAAAGUCUGGGAUGUAAGAGUGAACAAAUUACUACAGCAUUACCAAGUUCACAGCGGUGGAGUUAAUUGCAUAUCAUUCCAUCCUUCGGGUAACUAUCUCAUCACAGCUUCUUCAGAUGGUACCCUUAAGAUUCUGGACCUCUUAGAAGGAAGGCUCAUCUAUACACUUCAAGGACAUACGGGACCUGUCUUUACUGUUUCAUUUUCAAAAGGUGGAGAGCUAUUUGCAUCAGGAGGUGCAGACACACAGGUCUUAUUAUGGAGGACUAACUUUGAUGAAUUGCAUUGUAAAGGUCUUACCAAAAGAAAUCUCAAAAGAUUACAUUUUGAUUCACCACCACAUCUUCUUGAUAUCUACCCAAGAACACCACAUCCCCAUGAGGAAAAAGUUGAGACUGUAGAAGAUUUUUUUCUUCAUCUUUUGAGAUUAAUCCAAAGCUUGAGGUAAUCGAUUUGCAGAUCUCUACUCCCCCU
rnacentral:lncRNA from 1 species